CCCAUGCGCGUCUUUCCGAUUGGGCCCAUGCACCGCUCUUUAGCUCCUGCCUUAUCACCUGCCUUAUCCCCUGGCCGUUCCUCAGCCACAUGUUUUCAAGUCUCUCUUCGUCUCUCAUCUCUCUGUUCUCAGAUCUUUGAUCUCUCUUCUCCCGGUGGUUUCGCACAUGGCCGCCGCCCCGGCACCUAGGACUUAAACCGGUGUAGACCACCACACGCCAUUGUUGCCUUCUCACCUAGGCCGCCUCCCACUACGCCCCAUCACGUUUCCAUGUCGAAGAGCUUGAAAUGUCGUGGUGGAAGGAAGGGGCUUCGCCGGUGGGGAUGCUACGAGGCGACACCUCUUCCUCCCGUGGCGAGGCGUCCCCUUCUCCUCCUGCAGCGAGGCUGGUCAAGCUCCUCCCCAAGCGAGGCCGUCCCUGCUUCUCCCCCCCCCCUCCAUAUUGCGGGGAGGGGAAGGUGCUACCAGCCUAUAUCCUGCUAAUGUUGUUUUAUUUAAUUAAUUUUGGUGAGAAAGUUAUUCGUUAUUGUUGUAAAGUACUACAUCAUUUUGUUGUGAAGAUUUCUAGCAAGCUAAACUGUGAACGUGUUGGAUUUUUGUUGUAAAUACCGAUUCUCUUUUGUUGUUGUUUUUAUGGAUGGAUAUUAUUGUAAAAGUAUCAGUAAUUUGAAAGAUUUUUUUAGAAAUCAGCUGCAAAUAAAUUUUCCAGGGGAAAUAUUUUUAAAUGUUGUAAUCGUCAUUAUUUUCUGUGGGAAACGGUUGUGAUUAUUGUUGUAAAUGUCUCUAUAUUGUGAUGCAAACAGAUUUUCUCAGACUAGGGAAACGUUGAUUUUGUUAAUUAUUUUUUGUUGUAAAUGAUGGUGGUUAAUGUUGUAAAUAACUAUAUAAUAUGGUGCAAAGAAAAAUUUCAGAUUGGGUUAAUGUUGUUUUGUUAGUAAUUUUUGUUGUAAAAGAUGGUGGUUAAAUUUGCAAAUGACUAUUAUUUAAAAUUUGUAAUGCGACAUUGAUUUUUGUCUACACCUGCGUUGUGGUCGGUUUUUGCUGCAAGGUAUGCGAGUUGUUUAUUCGGAAGAUGCGGGAAGGAGAGCAGAGUGGACAACGCCUUUUCCGGGGAGAGCAUGUGGGUGACGUCAGGGGAAAGCGACAUUUACUGGCCGGGACCAUCCAACGGCCUCAGCUGUGUCAUCCAACGGCGCGCGCACGACCGAUUUUACCCCCAAAUCGGUCGGCCGACGCCUAGCGCUCCCCUUACUAAAAGCUUUGAAUGCAGAAGACUAGCAAGCGUUUUGAGCAGCUGUUUGAUUAUCUCAAUCACUAUCAGAGAAGACUAGGGGUAACUUAAGAAGAAAUAAUAGAUUUGGAAUUCACCAAGUGACAAUAUGUCUGAUUUGCAUGUAAGGUAUGUCCGCAAGUAUUUCUGGGCACAUGCAUGUAGUUUGGAGUUUCGACAACCUGAAAAAACAUACAUUCCAAAAAUAUGAUAUGUGAGAAUCGGAGCCUAGCCUAUCACUUAUGUAUUGGCCGAUAUAUUUUACUUGGCCUAAAAAUGCAAAAAUAGCUUCGUAGUAACAUUGUUACCUCUGAAAUUGUUUACCGUUUGAAAAUCUUAAAUUAUAUAUGCAUUUUCCUGAAAAUGAAAUAAAGUAGGCCAUUCUUUUAGCUUCACAUUAUUUUUGGGGCUGUUGCCUUCAACGAAAAUAUAUAAUUGAUAGUGUUUUACUGCCAUAUGUUUAUAGUUUUAACAAAGAGAAUGAAAUUAGUCAUAUUUUUUUGGUUUUACUUUUCAAAGGAGAGGAUGAAGCACUGGUAUACUGAUCAUCAUACUGAAAGUGCAUGGAGCCCCCAUGUGUGGUUUUGGUAAUUGAUGACAAUCCCUAUGGACUAAUGUUUGCAUUGAGUUAUAUUUGUAGGAGUUGUUCAUAGGCAAUGCUUGGACCAUAUGUUGGCUUCAAGAUUGCAAUAAGAAGCAAAUGAAGAAUAUCAAGUGUCAAGUAUGUCUUGAAGGUGAAGAUGAAGUGAGCUAUCAAGGUUAACUUCAAGACAUCAACAAAAUGAAGUGCAAGUUCAAGAUGAGCCAACUUGAAGAGAUCAUAUGCUUGAAGGCAAUGCUUAAACCGUAUGUUGGCUUCAAGAUUGCAAUAAGAAGCAAAUGAAGAAGAUCAAGUAUCAAGUAUGUCUUGAAAAUGAAGAUGAAGCGAGUUCUCAAGGUUAACUUCAAGACAUCAAUGAAAUAUUGUGCAAGUUCAAGAUGAGCCAUCUCGAAGAGAUUCUUUGCUUGACUCUUGUCAUCCAUAUGGUGAUCAUGGAUAUGUGAAGAUGCGCCGAAGAAGAAGCUCUCCCAUGGUGGAUUAUGGGGGAGCAAUCCAUAUGGUGAUCAUGGAUAUGUGAAGAUGCGCCGAAGAAGAAGCUCUCCCUUGAUGGAUUAUGGGGGAGCAAUCCACAAGACUUCGUCAAACAAGCACAAUCAAGAAAGGCGUUCCAUCUUGUUGCGGUCAAGAUCGUCAUCAUCGAGCUCAAGUGGAAUACGCAAGUAUAAGGUUUGCUCUUGAUAGGGUUUCUUUCUCACCGGUCUCAUAGUGUAGUUGGAGACCGGUUUAUAGUUUAGUUGCCGUUCUAUCAAGAGGGCUCUCGAGUGAGUAACUCGAUCGUAUCCUUCGGAGAGCUCAAACCUUUGCAUCCUUGCAUCAUCUUUCUUGGUUGUUAUUUGGAUCUUAUCCAUGUGAUGUUUUAGAGCUUGUACUUAUUCUCAUGACAAGCUCUAGUUCAUCAAGAAUAGUUUUUGCACGGGCAACUUGUUGCAUUUUCAAGGUUGGAGGCUUUACGGGUAUGUCUUUUUUAGAUAGGUCAAACCUUUCGUCAUUUGUUUCUAUCCUCCCUUGCUGGACUAUGAUGGUUCCCUGCAUGAUCUUGUAGAGCUUGUUACUAGCUUCGAAACGAGCCCAAGAUCAUCAAAAUCGGAGUCCGGAUGCUCAAGUUAUGCUCAUUCUCGUUUUAAUGUUUCUGCCAGUUUUUUUGGGGGGCGGAUAAUCCGGUCCGAAUGGAAAUUCCGGUCAAAUAUCCGGCCCGAGUCCAGGGGCGAUUUUCGGGGGGCGGAUAAUCCGGCCCGGGGGCGGAUUUUCCGGCCUGGGAGGCCCCAAACGGUCAUAUUUCAUUGGGAGGGGGUAUAUAAGACCCGCUUCUUCCUCCUUGGGCUGGGGGGUUUCACUCUCUCUCUUUCUCCCUCCAUUGUUGUCCUUCAAAGCUUGCCCUAGUUCUUGAUUCCUCCAAUGAUUCUUGCAUAUUCUUGAGGGAAAAGAGAGAGAAGAUCUAGAUCUACAUCUUCACCAAUCAAAUCCCUCUUUUUGUGAGGGGAACCCACUAGAUCUUGAUCUUGGAGGAUUUUGUGUUCUCCUCUUUGUUCUUCCUCUCUUAUUCCCCCAAUAGCUUUUGUAUCUUUGUUGGAAUUUGAGAGAGAAGGAUUUGAGCAUCUUUGUGGUGUUCUUGCCAUUGCAUUUGGUGCAUAGGUUUGAGUUCUCCACGGUGGUUCGUGGUGGUGAAAGCAAGAAGGUUGUUACUCUUGGGUUCUUGGAACCCUAGACGGAUUCUAGGCCUUUGUGGCGGUUUGUUGGGAGCCUCCAAUUAAGUUGUGGAUGUGUGCCCCAAUCUUUGUGUAAGGUCCGGUUUCCGCCUCGAAGGAAAUCCCUUAGUGGAACCGUGACCUAGGCCUUUGUGGCGAGGGUCACCAGAGAUUUAGGCGAGGCGCCUUCGUGGCGUUCGGUGUGUGUGGUGUGAGUACCGCAUCUUGGGGUGAGGCCUUUGUGGCGUUGGUGUGCAUUGAGCAACCACAUCUCAAGGUGAACCUCUUGUGGUGUUCAGGAGCACUAAGCCACCGCACCUCUCCACCGGAGAUUAGCACUCGCAAGAGUGUGAACUUCAGGAUAAA